rnacentral:rRNA from 1 species
GGCCUUUUGAUUAUAAUAUAAGGUCGGGCCUGCCCAAUGAUUAAUUUAAUGGCCGCGGUAUAUUGACCGUGCAAAGGUAGCAUAAUCAUUAGUUUUUUAAUUGAAAGCUUGCAUGAAGGGUUUAAUGAAAAAAAUACUGUCUCUAUUUAAAUUUAUUUGAAUUUUAUAUUUAAGUCAAAAAGCUUAAAUUUGUAUUGAAGACGAGAAGACCCUAUAGAGUUUAAUAUUUUAUUUAACAAUUAGAAAUUAAGGAUUUUAAAGGUUUGUUGUGUAAAGUAUUUAAUUGGGGUGAUUAAAAAAUUAACUUAACUUUUUUUGUAUUUUUACAUUGAUUAAUGAAUUGUUGAUCCUUUGCUUAAGAUUAAAAGAUAAAAUUACCUUAGGGAUAACAGCGUAAUUUUUCUAAGAGUUCUUAUCGAAAGAAAAGAUUGCGACCUCGAUGUUGGAUUAAAAUUAAUUAUUGGUGUAGAAGCUAAUAGAUUAGGUCUGUUCGACCUUUAAAUUUUUACAUGAUCUGAGUUUAAACCGGUGUAAG